GUGCUUGCUUCGGCAGCACAUAUACUAAAAUUAGAAUACAGAGAAGAUUAGCAUGGCCCCUGUGCAAGGAUGACACACAAAUUCAUAAAGUGUUCCAUAUAAAC
rnacentral:snRNA from 1 species